rnacentral:lncRNA from 1 species
CACAGUACGACAAGCUGUUACUGAGACAAUUCGAUCAAUUCCUCAUAAUAGUUGCUAUAAAUUGUUUGUUUAUGUAAAAGAAAAUGUAUAAUCGGAAAUGAAGAUCAUAUUAAUAAUAAUUACCAUCAUUGGACAUGCUUUAUGUUCGUUUAAUUGUACAGGUAAGCUCUUUGAAAUGUUUCUGUCUAUUUACAAAUUGUCACGAUGAUUUCAAAAACGUCAUAUUUUGUUUUUCACUCAUUAAACACAAUUUUAUUUACAUGCGAUUCUUUGGAUGUUUACAUUGUACUUAUAAGUUCUUUUGUUCCUGCGAUUUAAAAAUAUCCAUAAAUGAAAUGUAAUCCAUGCCAUCAAAAUAUCCGUAAAUUAAAUGUGACCCCUAUAAAAAUUCACUUUUAAUGACCACUGAAUAGUAGAAUUAUUUUUGCACAUGUAGUAUUAUUACAUUCAUUAAAAUUCUAAUCAGUCUGAUUUAAAUCAGCUAAUAAUCAGAGCUUUACAUACAACUGAAUACACUUUGUCAGAUCUUAAUGAGAUUGUCCCGCAAAUUUAAAGGUUAAUUGAAAGUACAACGUUAAGACUUAUUUAUUUUAUAAUCAAAACGUCAAGACAUAAAUUUAACGAAAUUGUCGUUUUAAACUGUUUAAGCAUUUAUAAUAAGCUUGUUAUAUGUUUUCCUUUCUACGAUAUUAUCGAUAAUGUUGUUAUAAAAUACGAUGGUACAAAGUUGACAUACAAAAAUAUUUUAAUAUAAUAGUCCAUAAUUCUACAGUUUUAUUUUGAUAAUUAUUCUUAUAAACCAAGGCUAAAGCAUGAAGAAUAUUUCUAAAGAUUUUUUUUAAUUUUCAGAAUUUGCACAUCGUUUUCGCUCAGACAGCUUACCGGUACUGAUGCAAGAUUUUAUUGGAACCCACAGUAGAGGAUUGUUAGCCAUUAAAUGUGCAGUAAGUUUAAUAUAAUUAUAAAUAAGCAAGGAACUUUUAACAUGUUAAAAUCGAUGCCUUAUAUUUGGAAGUAUUGUCAAUACAUUUUUUGCGUUAAAAUCAUUACGUGUGCGAGCAGCUGUCGAUUACACCAACGUUCAAGCGUGUUUUAUGUACACUUCAUGCAUACAUGUCAUCCAAGGAUAAAAAUGUAGGCACCUUAUAUAAAGCAUUUUAUUUAAAUUCCUAUACAUUUAUGGAGAUAUGAUUGGCUAAAGGACUACACGUGAUGACUAUGUUCAUUUGUAAAAGCAAUUUAUGGGACUGUCAUCUGUAUUACAUUUUCUAACAAGUGAUAUGAAAAGAAGAAAAAAUUUCAUGAUCAUCAUAAUAGACAUCUAUAUGUAAUACAGUUCACAGUACGCAAUUUCGACAACAUAUUUCAUUUUCAUUGUCAUUUGUAACAUUUAACUUUCAACCAUAUUUCAAUUUGGACAAUUAAUCAAUGCUGAAGUAAUUUUCACGGAAAGAUAUAAAUAUCACUGAGAAAUCGAUCAACUUGUACUGAAAAUUAUAGUCCAGAAAAGAAGACCAGCGCUAUAAAUUUGCACAAAUAACUAUUUAUCGAUGUACUGAUUUGUACGAAAACGUUCUUGACUUUACUGAAUCGAAUGAAGGCGUUUCCAGUCAGUACUGAACUGUACUGGAUCUCCUGCGGGUACUGAACACGAACUAAAUAUCUGAAAAAGAGCUUGACAAUUUUUAUAGCGGUAAUUUGCAGGCAUUAAAGUUGAAAAUGACCGUUUGAGUAAUAAUAAAUAGUUACUAGUGUGAAGAAGACAAAGACAGAAUGAUAUUAUAAUACCACGUCAGAACAUUAUGUCCUUGUCGUUUAACACCCUCAAGGUAAAGCAAAGAAAAAGGCUAAACCACCAAAGACUUUACAUUUUAACAUUGUCCAAAAUGAGUUACGACUUAGGUCUUAGUGCAAAUGUAAAGGGGUUUAGUAAAGUUUUUUUUGCAUUCAUGGAAAAAAUGGCUACUGUCAAGUACACUUUAAGACACCGUGUAACUAUAUUUCCUUCUAUAUUGACAUAUUGGUCAUUCCUAUCGCAAAUACCUCCCUGAAAGGGUUAUUCUGAAGUAGACAAUUUUUUAUUUUCUCUUAUACUGUUUAUAUAGCAUAACCCGAAAGUAUUAAACAAUCUAAUGUUCCGCUUCUUGCAAUUUUCUGACAAUAAUGAAUACUUACUGACCCUUUAUACAAUGCUGUACAUUAAAAAAAAAUGUAUUUUCUCUGACUGAAGCCGAACUGAGUUGUUUGUUCUCUUUUUAUUGUUAAUGAUCUUAAGCAACAGUUAAAACCAAAGGCCGUCACUACUUUAAAGUGGCUUUUUUCUAUUGAAGUGAACACAUUUUGAUUGAGAUUUUCAUAUUAUAUGUCGUCUAUAAUUUUCUUGACAAAGUUACUUGUAUCGGUAUUUUACUGUGUGUUUGCUUUGGCAAGGUAAGCAAUAAGCACAGCAUGCGUUUAUAACAUGUUCAACUGGUUUUCUUCGAAAUACUUUUCUUAUCCCAGGCAUAGCUUACCUUAGCCGUAUUUGGCAUAACUUUUUUUUUAGAAUUUUGGGUCCUCAAUACCCUUCAACUUUGUACUUAACUAUUUUGAUCUAAGCGUCACUGAUGAGUCUAAUGUAGACGAAACGACUAACUUAUGUAUAUCUAUAGUGCAUCAUACAAUAAACAUUUAUUGCUGGCGUCUGGCGUACUAAAUUAUAAUCCUGGUACCUUUGAUAACUAUUUACACCACUGGAUCGAUGCCACUGCUGAUGGACGUUUCGUCCCCGAGGGUACACACUUCGGUGUUGACAUGAAUAUCAAUAAUGUGGUCAUUUAUAUAAAUUUCCUGUUUACAAAACUUUGAAUUUUUCUAAAAACUAAGAAUUGUCUUAUCCCAGGCAUAGCUUACCUUAGCCGUAUUUGGCAUAACUUUUUAUAGACUUUUGGGUCCUCAAUGCCCUCCAACUUUGUAUUUGUUUUACUUCAUAACUAUUUUGAUCUGAGCGUCACUGAUGAGUCUUAUGUAGACGAAACGCUCGUCAGGCGUAUUAAAAUAUAAGCCUGGUACCGUUGAUAACUAAGAACUCAAACGCAUUUGUUUGCUCUAUGUAGGCAGAUAAUAUGUUUUGGGUAAUUCCACCUAUUCAUUUUAUAUAUUGUCAUUUAUUUCUCGAUAAUUUUAAAUGUAAAACUUAAAAUCACAAAAAAUAUUGAACUUAGAGGAAAAUCUAAUCGGAAAGUCAAUAAACACAUGGCAAAAUCAAAUAACAAAACACAUAAAAAACGAAUGGUACAGGCAUUUUCAAAUGUAGAAAAUGGUGGAUUAAACCUGGUUUUAUAGCGCUUACCCUCUCUCUUUCAUGACAGUCUCAUUAAAUUCCGUUAUAUUUACAGUGAUGCGUAAACUAAAAGACAUGAUAAAUAAAAUAGUCAAAAUAUAGGUACAGCAGUCAUCAUCGUGUAACAAUUUUAAAAGGAACAAUUUAACAGAACACAAAAACAUCUAUCUACAAACACAUUCAUUGAUUCGCGUGUUUGAAAUCAGAAAAUUUUAAACGUCACAGAUAUUUGUCGUUCAAUGUAUAUACAAACAAUUUUAAAAUUUCACAUAGGCAAUGUUAGCAUACAGGUAAUUGAUAUGAUAUCAUUAUUUUGUUUUCAGAUGAGAACUCUUCGAGAUGAUAUAUACAAUCAGAACUUUGCAGUCUAUCGGAGAACAUUGUUUAACUGAACGCCUUGUAAUGACAGUUAACCUAGUUUAGAUCUCAAUUUAAAUUAUGGCACUUUUUAGUUGUUACUUUUCAGUUUAUAAGUUGACUUACUCAUAGUACUUCUACAACUACAGUUGCGAUUCCGAUGGCAAAGUUGUGGACAUAUGAGAGGAUUUCUAUAAUUUGUUUAGGUCUUAUUUGUUUUUAAGUUUAUUUUAUUUAUUUAACAUGUGGACUCUAUAUCAUAUAUUUAUGUUACAGUACUAAUUAUAAUUGAGUAGUAUCAAGAACCCCCCAUAGUACUAAUUAUAAUUGACUAGGAUCA